UGUUUAGAGUUAAAGGUUAACAAAUUGAUUGCAAAUUAAUUACUCGUGGGUUCGAUUCCCACCUAAGCAU